ensembl:lncRNA
CCGCACUAUAACAUAUACAUUAUAUAUUAACUUUUGCACUGUGUUCUUAGAUCUCAAAAACGUGAACACAAAUGGCUUCUUAACUUCUGAAACUUUUUCCUCAUAAAAUUAACAUAUGACAACUUUUAUGAUCCUUUUUUAUCGCUCUGGUGAUUCUUAAGUGUCUUGUGUGUUUCUUUAAGAUCACAUGCAGGUUUGAAAUGACAUGAGAAGGUGAAUAUGGUAAAUAUUUCCAUUUUAUUUGUGAGUUUCUUUGUGAACUGCCGUAACCCUGCGCUCCCUGUCCCUCCGAGCCAGCUCAGCAACAUUAAGCUCUUCUCUUUUCUAAAUCUGUCCUCCAGUCAAGGUUUGAAAUACUACGGUCCCGGCUGUAGGCCUAUCCUGAAAAGAUCUGGCUUCCAUGUUGUCAUGUUUGAUGAGAUCAUCCACUUAUGAUGUCUAGAUGUUGGAGGUGUUGUUCUGCACAGUAUGGGUGUGUUUUUGAAAUAAAUCAGAGAAAGGGCUGUGAUGACCCUCACCCAGAGCAGCUGUCAGAUAUCACUGGGGUUUUAUAGAUGAUUGGUUAUUUUUAUCUGCUCAAGUCAUUUCAUCAGGUCAUUUUCUUUGCUUACUACUGUUUGUUGGUAGUAGUACACUUGGUCUUAUCAGCUCAUCUCCCCAGAAUAUAGUAUUUAAAAAAAAUAUAUAUAUAUAUAUAUAUAUAUGAAUCACAUGUACAUGAUCCACAUAUGUUGGUCUUAUGCAGUAUCUUUACAAAAUUACAAUGUUAUCUAUGGAAUCUGUGCAAUAGAGGCCCAACAGAGUUAUGUGAUGAUGUGCUGAUGGUCUGUCUUCCUUUAUCAUAUAUCAAAAUGAUUGGCCAGUAACCAGUGAGCACUAUCAGCCUUUCAAACCCAUUGUUUCUAACCGUAACUGUGUAAAACAAGGACACAAACUACCUGCACCAUCUUCAGCCUUGCCUUAGUUUAUACAAUUAAUACAUUGAGACUCAUCUUUAUUUUAAAGUGUGUCCUGUACAUCUACACAGUCUACACCCUACAGUUUUACAGCUGUUAAAUAUCAUGAGACCUUACAGUAAUGUUAGUUGUUGAUCUGGUACCUCCCUGUUCUUAAAACAAGGUUCAAAUUGGAACUUUUCAUCCCAUCUUUUAUUAUUUGUAUAGAGUGACAAUUGAAGCUGCAACUUGCUAUUCAGCUAAACAGUUGUCUUUGUAUAUAGGUCUUCAGUUUAUUUACAUAGAAUGAAUUUGGGUAAAUAGGGCCACAAUUUUUGCAUUCAUUUUGCAAAUAUAUAUACAUACAUACACACACAUGCACACUGAGUUAAAUCUACUUUCUAUUUGAAAUACUUUGAAAAUACAUGUUUAUUCAUUACAUUUUUGUUUAGCUAAAUUAUGGGUCUCCAAACUCUGUCCUGCAGAGUUUAGCUCUAAUCCUAAUUUAACGCACCUGAACCAGCUGAUCAAGGUGGAGCUAAACUCUUCAGUUUGGAGACCCCUGCGCUAAACUGUAAAAUAGCUGUUCUGCCCCCUGCAGUAAUUAUUAAGUGUUGCAGCUGUUUUGGAAAGCAUUAAAGAGUGUGAAGGCAUGACCAAUGAGCACAAGGUGAAAAUCUGCUUGUGUUAGAGUGAUGACAUGACCUGAAAAAACACUGAUUCUUUUUUUUUUUUUUUAUAUAUAUAUAAUUUAUUUAUUUUUUUCAAUUGGAUUAGCUUCAGUUUUGAAUUGGAUAGCUGAUUUGGCCAUACAUGUUCUUAAAACGCUUCGAGUGGCUGUGUGUCAUGGCUCCAGUUUUUUUCCAAGGCCACACACAAUAGGUUUUCACCCUGAUGGUGCAAUGAUUGCAUUUCACUUUAAGGGCUCAAGUGUUUGUUUCUCUGUGUGUGUGUGUUAAGGCUCAAGUGAGAAACAUCUGGAAUCAUAGGAUUAUUUUCACCUUUAUUUGAAGAGUCAACUGAUGCAUGUAGAUCCUCAAGUCGUAAACACCAAUCAUUUGUUUGACUACCUGAGACGGGACAACUAUAUAAAAAUAAGGCCUAUUUUUGUACUAUCAAUGGUGCAUUGUCAUUUACAUGUAAUUUAAAGAUUAUUUUGCUCUUUUUUUUCUUUCUUUUUAUUUAAUUGAUGUCAAUAUGCGAAUUAAAGAUUAUACAAAAAAAUAAAGAUCUAUGCAAACUUCAGCAUUUUCCGUUGUGAACUCUUUGUUGUGUUUCCUGUAGGUCAGAUCAAAUCUUAUAGUCCACAGUCAUGCUGAAC